CACGCCCUAAACGAUGUGUGCUGGAUUACGGCGACUCUGACGUCGUCGGGAUCGUAGAGAAAUUGCUAAGCACACCGCCUGGGGAGUACGGUCGCAAGGCUAAAACUCAAAGGAAUUGACGGGGGCUCACACAAGCGGUGGAGCAUGUGGCUUAAUUCGAAGCAACGCGCAGAACCUUACCUAGGUUUGACAUGGUCGGAUUAGUCGGUGGAAACAUCGAUGAGGCCCGCAAGGGUACAACGAUCACAGGUGC
rnacentral:rRNA from 1 species